GAUGAACGCUGGCGGCGUGCCUAAUACAUGCAAGUCGAGCGAACGGACGAGAAGCUUGCUUCUCUGAUGUUAGCGGCGGACGGGUGAGUAACACGUGGAUAACCUACCUAUAAGACUGGGAUAACUUCGGGAAACCGGAGCUAAUACCGGAUAAUAUUUUGAACCGCAUGGUUCAAAAGUAAAAGACGGUCUUGCUGUCACUUAUAGAUGGAUCCGCGCUGCAUUAGCUAGUUGGUAAGGUAACGGCUUACCAAGGCAACGAUGCAUAGCCGACCUGAGAGGGUGAUCGGCCACACUCGAACUGAGACACGGUCCAGACUCCUACGGGAGGCAGCAGUAGGGAAUCUUCCGCAAUGGGCGAAAGCCUGACGGAGCAACGCCGCGUGAGUGAUGAAGGUCUUCGGAUCGUAAAACUCUGUUAUUAGGGAAGAACAUAUGUGUAAGUAACUGUGCACAUCUUGACGGUACCUAAUCAGAAAGCCACGGCUAACUACGUG
rnacentral:rRNA from 1 species